ensembl:lncRNA
CCUGUACUCUCUAGACCGCUCACCCGCCUGAUCUCUAUGGUCUCCGUCUGCGCAUGUGCGGCGUAGGCCCCACCUCUUCUUUUCCUCCCGCGCGGGCCACGUGAGGAGAGUCUGGAGCCUUCAGGUUGUCCCCGGUGCGCAAGCAGCAGGACGAGGCCCAGGACUUUUCGGGUCUGUACGUUUGCUGAGAGUGGUGUUCUUGUGGCGGGGGCGGAAGGUGGACGUCUUAGGAAGCCUUGCGACCCAGUAGAGACCCCCACAGGGACUCCGCAGUGCCUGGGGAUGGCCUGGACCUCGCCCGGGAAAGCUGACACUUCACAGGCCUCUCUAAUGUCCGAAGUGCUCCAGAAAAUGAAUCUAUUUGAGGAUGCAGUUUUACAAAACCAGAGGUAGUCGUCAAGUUGGAGCAAUGAAAGGGUCCAUUGUUGUUAGAGGAAGAAUUUCCAAGCAGGAGCCAUGCAGGUGAGUUAAGUACUGUAGACUGGUCUCUAGGGGAAAUUAGAUCCAAAGUGGUCAGUUAGAGGUGGACACCAUCCAGUAGUUUAAACACUCUUCUGAUUUAAGAGUGCAUCUUGAAACUUAGAAAGAGUAGUCCUAAUAUAAUGUAGUAAGGGAGUGUUUAGAUAAAGGGAUAUAAGCCCAUUGAUGUUCUCACCUUACACAGAGUAAAAUGGAAGAUAGAAAUCCAAAUACAUAGAUAAUAACUUUACAUAUAACUCAUAUAAACUUUUCCAUUCAAAUGUGGCAACUUAAUGAUCUUUCACAUAGAUGAUUUUCUUCACUUUAGGUCCUGCUCCCUUAGAAGUUAAGAGUCAGUAAAUCAUGUAUUUACUCAUUUCUCUCUUAUUUCUGUAGCUUGUUUAAUGAGGUCUACACCAGUACCAUAUCAUACUGAUUACAGCACCUUUAUAACAAGUUCAAAUAAUGAGGUGAUAAUUUCCAAAAAAUACUCAUGAGAUUUUGUUUGGUAUUACACGAAACGUUGAUUUUAGCUUUGAAAAAUUGAAUCUGACCUUCACUAAGAUCAGUGAAUCCUGAAUUAUUUUGAAUGUUUACUUAAUUUACAAUUUUAGAUUUUUAAUUUUCCAAUUUCUUUUUAUAUAAUGAUUUUUAUUUUUUUCCAUUAUAGCUGGUUUACAGUGUUCUGUCAAUUUUCUACUAUACAACAUGGUGACCCAGUUACACAUACAUGUAUACAUUUUUUUAUCUCAAUUUUAGCCAUGUCCUUGAUACAGUCUAAUAGUAUUUUCUUUGUUUUUUAGUUUCGUCUUUUUUGUGUGUUUUCUAGGGCUGCACCGGUGGCAUAUGGAGGUUCCCAGGCUAUGCCAGAGCCACAGCAACAUGGGAUCCGACCUGAAUCUGUGACCUACACCACAGCUCAUGGCAACGCCAGAUGCUUAACUUACUAAGCAAGGCCAGGGAUUGAACCUGAAACCUCAUGGUUCCUAGUCAGAUUCGUUAACCACUGAGCCACGACAGGAACUCCUACGAGUAUUUUAUUUGAAUAGUUGACAUUAGCUUAUUCAUAUGGAUUGAUUGGCAGAUACUCUGAAAUGCUAUAUUGAUUCAUUAGCAAUUACUUCUGUAAUGCUGUAUGUUUAAAAUGUUACAGAGGAGUUCCCGUCGUGGCGCAGUGGUUAACGAAUCCGACUAGGAACCAUGAGGUUUCGGGUUCGAUCCCUGCCCUUGCUCAGUGGGUCAAGGCUCCGGCGUUGCCGUGAGCUGUGGUGUAGGUCACAGACGCGGCUCGGAUCCUGCGUUGCUCUGGCUCUGGCGUAGGCUGGCAGCUACAGCUCCAAUUCGACCUCUAGCCCGGGAACCUCCAUAUGCCACAUUAGCGGCCCAAGAAAUGGCAAAAAGACCAAAAAAAAAAAAAAAAAAAAAAAGAAAAUGUUACAGAAACAUUGCUUAAUCAUCUAUUUAGAUAGUAUCUCUUACUAAUCACUUGAGGUGUAGCCAGUUCUGAAAUUAAAUUGCUCACUUUCUCUUCCUUCUCACAUUUUAACACUCAACUUUAGUUUCUUUAAUAGUUUAAGUUUUAGCUUUUGAAUAGCAAAUAUGACUUGAUUUGUCAACAUUAAACUAUGUAUUUGAUAUCUUUCUUUUCACGAUGGAAAAAAAUUAGGAUUAUAUCUCAUUGCUUUUGUUAGAUCUUCCUCCUCCACAUAUGGAUAUGUUUUUUCUUGAUGAGCAAAUUUCAAAGGCUUCAAAUGGAGAGUUGUAAAACAGUACAGAAAUAAGAGCAAAUAGUUACUAUAACUUUUAUGAGUAGUGUGACUUAAACUUGUGCUCAAGUAAAGCCUGAUGUUUCUCUUGAUCCACUCAUAUUCUGUUUCUUUAGAUGGAUGAUAUUUUCAUGAGUGGCCACUCUUUGGUGUUUGUUGUCGUGGACAAAAGAGUUGUAUGUAUAUUUAUGCUAGAGUGAAUACUUUUAUAACCGUGAAGAGACAAAUCAAAUAUUGGGAGAUGAUAUUUAUUACAAAUAUACCUCAGAAAGGAUUUGGGUUUCUGUAAUAAAUAAAGAAUUUAGAUCUUAAGUUAUCUUUUU